rnacentral:lncRNA from 1 species
UCUGGAAUGAGAUUUCCCAUCAGUAUAUUAAGAUUAUCAUAUCAUUUUCUGGGCACUGAGAACAUGAGCUGGCCCUGUCUUUUUGAAAAUGUAAAAACCUGCAGCCUACGCAUGCUGACGCAGCUCCCCACCCGGAGUAGAACAGGUUUCCAGAGAUUUUUCAUUUAUUUCGAGGAAGAAGAGGAGUGAGUUGCCUGCAAGUCUUGCCUUCAGGAACUGUGUUGGCGUGCUCAAGAGGAAGAGGAAGCUAACAGAUGAGCGCUGAUCCCAGCCCG